CAGCCGCCACGGUAAAACGGAGGGUGCAAGCGUUAAUCGGAAUUACUGGGCGUAAAGCGCACGCAGGCGGUCUGUCAAGUCAGAUGUGAAAUCCCCGGGCUUAACCUGGGAACUGCAUUUGAAACUGGCAGGCUAGAGUCUUGUAGAGGGGGGUAGAAUUCCAGGUGUAGCGGUGAAAUGCGUAGAGAUCUGGAGGAAUACCGGUGGCGAAGGCGGCCCCCUGGACAAAGACUGACGCUCAGGUGCGAAAGCGUGGGGAGCAAACAGGAUUAGAUACCCCAGUAGUCCCUGUCUCUUAUAC
rnacentral:rRNA from 1 species